UUUUGUCAAUCACUAUUUGUAUUGGUUUUGUGAAGUGCUCCUGGCUUGUGUUAUUCGAGUUUUUCCCAUUCAUGUCAGUUAAACAGAGUGCCACUGAGAUCUUGUUGUCAGUGGAAGGGAGAGUUGCUACAAAUAAUCCCACAGAAAGUUUGCACUUUGUUUAAAAUAUAAAUUUUAAGAACGCUUUUGCAAUUUCAG